rnacentral:rRNA from 1 species
GACGAACGCUGGCGGCGUGCUUAACACAUGCAAGUCGAGCGGAAAGGCCUUUCGGGGUACUCGAGCGGCGAACGGGUGAGUAACACGUGAGUAAUCUGCCCUUCACUCUGGGAUAGCCACCGGAAACGGUGAUUAAUACCGGAUACGACCAAUCCCUGCAUGGGGUGUUGGUGGAAACUUUUUUGGGUGGGGGAUGUGCUCGCGGCCUAUCAGCUUGUUGGUGGGGUAAUGGCCUACCAAGGCUUCGACGGGUAGCCGGCCUGAGAGGGUGACCGGCCACAGUGGGACGGAGACACGGCCCAGACUCCUACGGGAGGCAGCAGUGGGGAAUAUUGGACAAUGGGCGGAAGCCUGAUCCAGCAACGCCGCGUGAGGGAUGACGGCCUUCGGGUUGUAAACCUCUUUCAGCACCGACGAAGCGCAAGUGACGGUAGGUGCAGAAGAAGGACCGGCCAACUACGUGCCAGCAGCCGCCGCGGUAA